rnacentral:lncRNA from 1 species
UCCUCAAACACAUCAAGACACAUCAGGGCUGCACAAACUCAACUCACCAUGGGAAGGUCCCUACGUCAUAUCCAAAGUCACAGGGCCCAGAUCAUACCGAUUACAGGAACUCUUAGGCGAAGAAGUACCAAACUCUUGGAAUAUAGAGCAUCUGUGUCGCUACUACCCGUAGCAGACUACAAGACAUGUACUCGGGUCCUCACCCACAGUUUAUUAAACAAACAAAGUCCUUUGGCAAUCAGUACCUAUCUUUGCCUCCGCUCGACUAUUCACAACCACUCAAGCUCUUCAGCUCCAUGAGCCCCAAUGCUCUGCCCUUGACUUGAUUCCAUCAGGUCUCUUCGAGUUAUCACAACUCGUCGACUAUUCACAGCCACUCGAUAUCUCCAGCUCCACAAGCCCCAGCGCUCCGCCCUUGACUUGUUUUCAUCAUGUCUCUUUGAGUUAUCACAACUUGUCAGCUAUUCAUAGCCACUCAAGCUCUUCAGGUCUAUGAGUUUCAACACUCUCUCGCCGACUUAUCUCUACAAUUCUAAACAACUUCACAAAGUCACGACUCAUGUCAGUUCACUUACUAGGCUACAAUCCU